GCUUAACAUGCAGUCGAACGGUGAAGCCCCUUCGGGGGCGGAUCAGUGGCGAACGGGUGCANUNACACGGUGGGCAACCUGCCCCUAGCUCUGGGAUAACCCCGGGAAACCGGGGCUAAUACCGGAUACGACCUCGAUCGGCAUCUUUCGAGGUGGAAAGUUUUUCGGCUAGGGAUGGGCCCGCGGCCUAUCAGCUUGUUGGCGGGGUAANCGNCCCACCAAGGCACAACACGGNUANCCGGNCUGAGAGGGACGACCGGCCACACUGGGANUGAGA
rnacentral:rRNA from 1 species